GUAUCUUCGGAUAUGAGUAGAGCGGCGGACGGGUGAGUAACGCGUAGGAAUCUACCUAGUAGAAGGGGAUAGCCCGGGGAAACUCGGAUUAAUACCGUAUACCUCCUUCGGGAGAGAGAAGGCCUCUCAUUGAAGCUUUCGCUACUAGAUGAGCCUGCGUAAGAUUAGCUUGUUGGUGAGGUAAAGGCUCACCAAGGCGACGAUCUUUAGCGGGUCUGAGAGGACGAUCCGCCACAUUGGGACUGAGACACGGCCCAGACUCCUACGGGAGGCAGCAGUGGGGAAUAUUGGACAAUGGGCGCAAGCCUGAUCCAGCCAUACCGCGUGUGUGAAGAAGGCUCUAGGGUUGUAAAGCACUUUAAGUUGGGAAGAAAAGUUAUUGGUUAAUACCCAAUAGCCGUGACAUUACCAUCAGAAUAAGGACCGGCUAAUUCCGUGCCAGCAGCCGCGGUAAUACGGAAGGUCCAAGCGUUAAUCGGAAUUGCUGGGCGUAAAGCGCGCGUAGGUGGUUUAUUAAGUUGGAUGUGAAAUCCCCGGGCUCAACCUGGGAACUGCAUCCAAAACUGAUUCACUAGAGUACGAUAGAGGGAGGUAGAAUUCACAGUGUAGCGGUGGAAUGCGUAGAUAUUGUGAAGAAUACCAAUGGCGAAGGCAGCCUCCUGGAUCUGUACUGACACUGAGGUGCGAAAGCGUGGGUAGCGAACAGGAUUAGAUACCCUGGUAGUCCACGCCGUAAACGAUGUCAACUAGCUGUUGGGGAACUAUGUUCUUCGGUGGCGCAGCUAACGUAGUAAGUUGACCGCCUGGGGAGUACGGCCGCAAGGCUAAAACUCAAAUGAAUUGACGGGGACCCGCACAAGCGGUGGAGCAUGUGGUUUAAUUCGAUGCAACGCGAAAAACCUUACCUAUACUUGACAUACUUGGAAUGCUUUGUAAUGAAGCAGUGCCUUCGGGAGCCAGGAUACAGGUGCUGCAUGGCUGUCGUCAGCUCGUGUCGUGAGAUGUUCCGUUAAGUCGGAUAACGAGCGCAACCCUUACCCUUAUUUGCC
rnacentral:rRNA from 1 species